rnacentral:rRNA from 1 species
GACGAACGCUGGCGGCGUGCUUAACACAUGCAAGUCGAACGGGAGGAAAAGAGAAGCUUGCUUCUUUUUGAAUCUAGUGGCAAACGGGUGAGUAACACGUAAACAACUUGCCUUCAGGAUGGGGACAACAGACGGAAACGACUGCUAAUACCGAAUGUGUUCCGGAGACCGCAUGAUUUCCGGAAGAAAGGAUGGCCUCUAUUUAUAAGCUAUCGCCUGAAGAGGGGUUUGCGUCUGAUUAGGCAGUUGGUGAGGUAACGGCCCACCAAACCUACGAUCAGUAGCCGGUCUGAGAGGAUGAACGGCCACACUGGAACUGAGACACGGUCCAGACUCCUACGGGAGGCAGCAGUGGGGAAUCUUCCGCAAUGGACGAAAGUCUGACGGAGCAACGCCGCGUGAGUGAUGACGGCCUUCGGGUUGUAAAGCUCUGUGAUCGGGGACGAAUGGCUGGUAUGCUAAUACCAUAUCAGAGUGACGGUACC